GAUGAACGCUAGCGGGAGGCCUAUACAUGCAAGUCGAGCGGUAGAGUGACUUCGGUUGCUUGAGAGCGGCGCACGGGUGAGUAACGCGUACAUGGCCUACCUUUAAGACUGGGAUAGCCCUGGGAAACUGGGAUUAAUACCGGAUGUGAUAAUACGUAUAGAGAUGUAUUAUUAAAGUUGAGGCGCUUAGAGAUGGAUGUGCGUCUGAUUAGCUAGUUGGUAGGGUAACGGCCUACCAAGGCGACGAUCAGUAGGGGGCGUGAGAGCGUGGCCCCCCACACGGGUACUGAGACACGGACCCGACUCCUACGGGAGGCAGCAGUAAGGAAUAUUGGUCAAUGGACGGAAGUCUGAACCAGCCAUCCCGCGUGCAGGAUGACUGCCCUAUGGGUUGUAAACUGCUUUUAGCAGGGACGAAACGCCUUCAUUUAUGAGGGUCUGACGGUAUCUGCAGAAUAAGCACCGGCUAACUCCGUG
rnacentral:rRNA from 1 species